UGGUAAUGAGAAUGUUUGCAUUUGUAUAAAUGUUUGAAAUAAUUGAUAAGUAAGGAUUUUAUGUAAUACAUUAACCGUUGAUCCUUUUUGUCCUAUACAACUGCUGCUUUUUGGCUGCAUGUUUUAAUUUUCUUUGGCUGCAUGUUUUAAUUUUCUCCAUGGAUAUGGAUUUUAAUGGUGAGAUAUGUGUUUUAAUUUUCUGCAUGUUAAUAUAUGAUUUUCUUGUAGAAAG
rnacentral:lncRNA from 1 species